CAUCGAUGUCGGCCUUGGGCAGGCUCACAUCCACAUCUGGACCUUCUCCUUUGAAGCCAGGCAUGCUGAAUUUGGGCAUUUUCACCUUGGGCAUCUUCAGGUGCCAGUCUGGGCCAUGAACAUCCACAUCUGGGGCAUUGAUAUUUUAGGAGCUUUGAUGUUCAUCUCUGGCAUCUUGAAUUUAGGGCCCUUCAGUUUCGCAUCUGGACCUUCAAUAUUCACAUCUGGAACAUCAACGUCCACCUUGGGUCCUGAGACGUCAAGGUCAGCCUUGGGCAGGUUCACAUCCACUUCUGGGCCCUCUGCUUUGAAGCCAGGCAUGCUGAACUUGGGCAUUUUCAUCUUGGGCAUCUUCAGGUGCCAGUCUGGGCCUUGAACCUCCACAUCUGGGACAUCAAUGUCCAUUUUGGCACUUUUAAGUUCAACAUCAGGAACUUUAAUCUCACUUUCAAC
rnacentral:lncRNA from 1 species